rnacentral:rRNA from 1 species
CCUACGGGAGGCAGCAGUGAGGAAUAUUGGUCAAUGGACGCAAGUCUGAACCAGCCACGUCGCGUGAAGGAAGACGGCCCUACGGGUUGUAAACUUCUUUUGUAAGGGAAUAAAGUGAGCCACGUGUGGCUUUCUGCAUGUACCUUACGAAUAAGGAUCGGCUAACUCCGUGCCAGCAGCCGCGGUAAU